ACCGUACAACCGUACAGUGACAGCAUUCUCUCAGCCAGCAGCCCGUCAACAUUCUCUGCGAAGCAACUGGGACACCCCCAGGGCAGACCGUAGGCAUCCCGGCUCAUCAAGUGCGCACUGAAGAGGGCCUGGGCUCACUUUUGUGACCUACUUCCAUCCCCGGAGACCUUUCCUUGUGGACCGGUGCUGACAAUGCGUAGGCUAUGCUUUGUGGGAGAGGAGGAAGAGAACCAACUAGAGAAAAAAAACCACCUGACAUGGAAUGGAUACAAGACCCAUCGAGAUUACAAGAUUGGCUCUCAAUGACGCGGCGCAGGAAGUAAAUUUUGUGGAAGCGUCCCACUAUGGAACACGAACUGAGGACGGGGCUUUCGCCUGCCAGGUGCCGUCUAAACCCGUCUUCACACCAGAACCAGAGAAGACCAAGCAAAAACCCGAUACCAAGUAUCUUUUGGCAGCCUAAUAAUGACAAAGUGACAAAAAAGGAGCUCCUGUUUUUGUCUUCUGUGGACAACUUCUCUGCGUAAAGAGUUGAAGGCAGUCCAAGAGCAACGUGAAGCUGCCCCAAUCCUCUUAUCUCCGCUCUGCGUCUCUGGGACUGUCCAUCUGUCAGCCUGUUUACUCUGCUCCACACAGGCGGACCGUGAUAUCCUCCACUCAUUUUGAACCAACUGGGGAGGGAAAGCCAAAUAUGGUGGUGUCGGAUAAGAGUGGACGGGCACCACUAAUGAUGUCGACAGCAGUUCACCUUCCAUUUCCGUUGUGCAAACUCCUUUGAGAUGUUUUGAGGAAUACUUGCUGUUAAUGUGCCUUUUUUCCAAUUAAAUAAUAGACUAAGCAAAGCAAUAUGUGGUUUAAUCGUGCAUUAACUCAUUGAAUGCUAUUGGUUACUAUAGACAUCUAAUCUAUUUUAACGGUGAGGACUGGCAGCAAUGUCAUCAAUGAUAAUGAAUGAGUUUAUAUUGCAUUUUGGGAAUAAGACAUACACAGAAUAAUUAAUGAAUAAUUGCUCUUAACUGAAAUAAAAGUUGCAACUUAAUUGACAAGUUUUAUGUCCACCAAUGAUUACAUAUAGUUCAUCAAUAGGGGUUUAAAUCACCAUUUUCAUGACAAUACAACAUUGUUUCUAGGCUGACAAGGAUACGAUAUCUGAUAAUAUUAUUAAGGGGCCGUUUACACGACCACGGCAACGGGGGUGACAACGCAAAAACUUUUCCAGAGAGCCCUACCGUUUACAUGGCGACUGCGUUUUGAGCGGCUGAAAAUGCUAAAAUUUUAAAACACCUUCCAGAGUGGAAAUCAUGAAAAAGCUCCCUCCUGUCAUUGCCGUUUAAACAGUCAACAAUGCAAAAGUGAGUUUUAAGUGACAACAGACUUCCAUACUCCAGAACAGUAGGUGACGAUAAGGGCUCAAAUACACCAAGCACAUCUUCGUUCCGGUUUCAGUCCGGGUCCGGCAAAAAAUAGCGCCGGAGCCAAUCCGUUCCCAUUAUAUCCUAUUGUUCAACGUAUACCGGCUGCGUCAGUGCUCCGGAUUGACUGCGGACCAUCUGGUUUAGGCUAUUUUCUAUUUUUGCGGGAGACGCAUCCGUCAAAAUGGGUGGAUCCAGGCCUGGAGUCAACAGCCAAGUGUCUUAUUCACGGUUUAAACAGCAGCGAACAUGAAAGAAGAAUGUUUCAUCAUGGAGGUGGAAAGUCACAAUGUUAGGUUUUGUGUUUGUUUUCUCCUAGUGUGACUUGUCCCUGUGAUUGCCCAUUGAUUUCACCUGAUGUGCCUUCUCCUAGACUAUAAUCCUGUGCUCACCUGUUCCUUGUUGUCUCGUUACCCCUUGUCUGCUUGUGUGUAUAUAAGCUCCCAUUUUCUGUUCACUCCUUUGUUGCGUCAUUGUCAAUGUCUGUCUGUCUCAAAGUCAAGACCUCUCCAAGCCUUCGUGUACCAGUCCCUCCGUUUAAGUAAGUUUUGUUUAGAACCUUGCCUUUUGAUCCCCAGUCCUUUUGUUUGUACUUUGUGCUUUUGUUAUAAUUAAAACCAUUUUUUGAGUUCUCUGCCACCUGCCUUGCGUUGUUGUUUCCUUGCAUUUGGGUCCACACAACCUGCCUGCCCGUGCGCUCCCUGACACACAAAGGGAUUUAUGAUGCAGCAGAUCAUUAUUAUAAGAACAACAUUAAAAAGGAAGCGGCAAGGUGUCCUAUUAUCUGUGUUUUUCUGGCAAUGAUAUUCAACCCACGACGUGCUGAAAACUUUGUUUUUAUUCCCACACGGCACUAACAACACUUCCUCAACCUGUGGCUCUCGGUCAGACACGGCGCUCCGCAUACGCAUAACACGCACUGCGCGUAGGGCACCAACUCUGCCUGAAGGGGCACAAAAAAAAAUAUCAAGUUUGUAAAAAAUCCUAAAAAAUAGUAAUUGUAAUAAUAACAACAAUAUAUAGUAUUUAAAAUAAAACUUUGUAAAGCCUGAUAAACGCAAGUAAUACAAAUAUAAGUAACAUAGGCUCAUUAUUUACACAAAAAAAGAAUCUCCUGUGCGACCCUCUCGUCAGUCUACCUUUGGUGCCCCCCCCCCCCCAAUUCCCUAGUGGUUUGCUCCAUUAUGCUUCAGUAGCAAAUUUGGCAGAAGUUUAUUCUUGAAAGGAAAUGUCAUCGAAAAGACAACAAGAGUCGGGGGUGAAAAA